rnacentral:rRNA from 1 species
CAUGGAGGGUGAGAAUCCCGUCCGGUUGACCUUCAGGACGUUUUACGAUACGCUCUCAAAGAGUCGAGUUGUUUGGGAUUGCAGCUCAAAAUGGGAGGUAAAUUUCUCCUAAGGCUAAAUACAGGCGAGAGACCGAUAGCGAACAAGUACCGUGAGGGAAAGAUGAAAAGAAUUUUGAAAAGAAAGUUAAACAGUACGUGAAAUUGUUGAAAGGGAAACGAUUGAAGCCAGUCGUACCGACGGGAAAUCAACUUCUCGAGUGCUUACCGUGGGUGACGUUGAGCUUCACGGCCUUCGUUGCUUGUGUUGUUGGUGCUUUUGGGGUGUACUUUUCCGUAUGGUAGGUCAUCAUCGAUUUUGAUCGUCAUAAAAUGAUCGGGGGAAUGUAGCUUCGGUCUCGUAUCGGAGUGUUAUAGACCUUGGUAGAUGUGACGAUUGGGAUCGAGGAUUGCAACGAAUACCCUUUUGGGCUAUCCGUCUGUCCUCUGAAAGUCGCUCGGGGGUCGAAAGCGUGCUUAUGAUCAUUCGAGUUGGCGGUCAAUAGGAUAGAACGUGAUUAUAUUCGUUAAGGAUGUUGACGUAAUGG